rnacentral:rRNA from 1 species
ACUUAGUGGCAGACGGGUGAGUAACAUGUGGGUAUCUACCCUUUGGCCUGGAAUAACACGAGGAAACUUGUGCUAAUACCGGAUAAGUCUUUACGGAGAAAGCUUUAUGCACCAAUGGAUGAGCCCGCACUAGAUUAGUUAGUUGGUGGGGUAAUGGCCUACCAAGACUGUGAUCUAUAGCUGAUUUGAGAGGAUGAUCAGCCACAUUGGGACUGAGACACGGCCCAAACUCCUACGGGAGGCAGCAGUGGGGAAUCUUGCACAAUGGAGGAAACUCUGAUGCAGCGAUGCCGCGUGAGUGAAGAAGGCCCUUGGGUUGUAAAGCUCUUUCGUCGGGGAAGAAAAUGACUGUACCCGAAUAAGAAGGUCCGGCUAACUUCGUGCCAGCAGCCGCGGUAAUACGAAGGGACCUAGCGUAGUUCGGAUUUACUGGGCUUAAAGAGUUCGUAGGUGGUUGAAAAAGUUGGUGGUGAAAUCCCAGAGCUUAACUCUGGAACUGCCAUCAAAACUUUUCA